GACGUAGGGCGCGAGCGUUGUCCGGAUUUAUUGGGCGUAAAGAGCUCGUAGGCGGCUUGUCGCGUCGUCCGUGAAAACCAGGGGCUCAACCCCUGGCUUGCGGUCGAUACGGGCAGGCUAGAGUUCGGUAGGGGAGACUGGAAUUCCUGGUGUAGCGGUGAAAUGCGCAGAUAUCAGGAGGAACACCGGUGGCGAAGGCGGGUCUCUGAGCCGAUACUGACGCUGAGGAGCGAAAGCGUGGGGAGCAAACAGG
rnacentral:rRNA from 1 species